rnacentral:rRNA from 1 species
CCCCUUGAGAGUGGCGAACGGGUGAGUAAUAUAUCGGAACGUGCCCAGUCGUGGGGGAUAACGUAGUGAAAAUUACGCUAAUACCGCAUACGAUCUAAGGAUGAAAGCGGGGGAUCGCAAGACCUCGCGCGACUGGAGCGGCCGAUAUCAGAUUAGGUAGUUGGUAGGGUAAAGGCCUACCAAGCCAACGAUCUGUAGCUGGUCUGAGAGGACGACCAGCCACACUGGAACUGAGACACGGUCCAGACUCCUACGGGAGGCAGCAGUGGGGAAUUUUGGACAAUGGGCGAAAGCCUGAUCCAGCCAUUCCGCGUGCAGGAUGAAGGCCCUCGGGUUGUAAACUGCUUUUGUACAGAACGAAAAGGUCUCUAUUAAUACUAGGGGCUCAUGACGGUACUGUAAGAAUAAGCACCGGCUAACUACGUGCCAGCAGCCGCGGUAAUACGUAGGGUGCAAGCGUUAAUCGGAAUUACUGGGCGUAAAGCGUGCGC